rnacentral:rRNA from 1 species
CUACGGGAUGCAGCAGUGGGGAAUAUUGCACAAUGGAGGAAACUCUGAUGCAGCAACGCCGCGUGGAGGAUGACACUUUUCGGAGCGUAAACUCCUUUUAUAUAGGAAGAAGAUGACGGUACUAUAUGAAUAAGCGCCGGCUAACUCCGUGCCAUCAGCCGCGGUAAUACGGAGGGCGCAAGCGUUACUCGGAAUCACUGGGCGUAAAGAGCGUGUAGGCGGAUUAAAAAGUCAGAAGUGAAAUCCUAUAGCUUAACUAUAGAACUGCUUCUGAAACUCUUAAUCUAGAAUAUGGGAGAGGUAGAUGGAAUUUCUGGUGUAGGGGUAAAAUCCGUAGAGAUCAGAAGGAAUACCGAUUGCGAAGGCGAUCUACUAGAACAUUAUUGACGCUGAGACGCGAAAGCAUGGGGAGCAAACAGGAUUAGAUACCCCAGUAGUC